ACUCCUACGGGAGGCAGCAGUGGGGAAUAUUGGACAAUGGGCGAAAGCCUGAUCCAGCCAUGCCGCGUGUGUGAAGAAGGUCUUCGGAUUGUAAAGCACUUUAAGUUGGGAGGAAGGGCAGUAAGUUAAUACCUUGCUGUUUUGACGUUACCGACAGAAUAAGCACCGGCUAACUCUGUGCCAGCAGCCGCGGUAAUACAGAGGGUGCAAGCGUUAAUCGGAAUUACUGGGCGUAAAGCGCGCGUAGGUGGUUUGUUAAGUUGGAUGUGAAACGCCCCCGGGCUCAACCUGGGAACUGCAUCCAAAACUGGCAAGCUAGAGUACGGUAGAGGUGGUGGAAUUUCCUGUGUAGCGGUGAAAUGCGUAGAUAUAGGAAGGAACGCCAGUGGCGAAGGCGACCACCUGGACUGAUACUGACACUGAGGUGCGAAAGCGUGGGAGCAAACAGGAUUAGAUACCCCGUGGUAGGAUAGCG
rnacentral:rRNA from 1 species